UUUCUUGUUUUGUUUCCCGAAUGUAUCAGUGUCCCACGAACUAAUUUGUAAAAACCUACCAUGUUUUAGUGGUAUGUUGGCUGACUCCCUGAAACCAGGCAGUUCUUUGUUGUUUUGACAGCGUUUGGCUUGCAUGAAGAUGUGUAGUGCGAUGGUUUCUUUUUUAAGCAAAAAUGAUAAAAUUAAAAUGUCCAUAAUUUUUGCAUUUUAUUGCUCUUGGUUCAUUUUUGAAGAUUUUCUCAAAAGAUUAUUAUCACUAAAUCAAGAAGUCAUUGUCGCCUUAGCCUGCGUGCAGACUUUACAAAUAGAGGAUAUUGUAAGGUCUGCGCAAUGGCGCAGAUUUUCUUGUACCCACUUCUUUAACAAGACUGUUCAAAACUCUUUGUCUCUGGAACCAAUAAGAUGUCUUUCCAUGAUUUUAAGAAACGAAUCAGAACGAUGCCUCUUUCAUCAUAUUACGGGAAAGUAGCUUGCUUUCUGUAUAAGAUAUGGUCCUACUUGAAAGCUUUAUUUCGAAAGUAGCAAUAUAUCUCUAUGAUUGUGCUUAACGCGAUUAUGCCUUGCUUUUUGUUUAUCUUAUUUCUCAUUAAUCCUUAGUUAGUAUUUAUGACAGACCAUUGCUGUUUAUUGACACACUUUUUUAUAGGAAUGGCGUCAAGGCCUUUUUGGUGCUGUCUCCUAGCAAUCCACACGAAGAAAUCAACACUGAAUCGAGGUCAAAGCUCCUUCUCAGCUCUGUCGCUGUCGCUCUCUCAAAUACGAAUUGUGAUACUCCUGUAUUCGUGCAAGUUCAACAAAGAUGGCGUCGUCUCUAUUUUGGCAUUUGUAUGGGUAACGGCUUUAGAGUCAGUUAUGAAAUGGCUCAUAUGAAAAAAACUCCUCAACAGUGUCAGAAUUUGACCGGACUCUUAGAUGUUUUCAAAUCAAAGCUGGCGGUUCCUUCUAGUUUGUUAACACCAGUGACUAUUUCAGUGCGGUUUACUUAUAUACUGGGCUGGAACGAAGAAGAAUGGGUCCAAGAUCCUCCUGAUUUUGAAUCUGGGUUUGGAGCUGAGGUCGGUUACUUGAUUUUGUCAAGGCUACCUUUCGGACCAUUGCAGGAUCCUAUUAGUGAGUUGCAUCUAGCGACCUCUUGGCCAUGGCUGACAGAAGAGACAUUUGUUGAUGAUUCUGAUUUUUCGUAAGUUUACUCAAUACUGUUAUCUAUCUUUAUAUUAUAUAUAUACUUAUCAUUACGAUUGUGUAUCAGCUCCAGCUCGAAUCUAUGUUUUUCCUUUCUCUGCCACAUAACACAAAAACAUUGAUUUACAACUCUGUCAUUAAUAUGACUUGAUUUGUUCGAUAUAAAUGUAUCUGUUCCACCGAACAGUAUGUUAUUUUUCUAGUACCAUUUUCCUAGAGUGAGGUGACCAAAACAAUGUAGAUAAAACUAUUGCAAAAGGAAUGAUGAAAAUUCCUUUUUUUCAAAUUGCAGUUAUUUGCAUGACACUAAUAUAUUUCCCAGUGAAGAUAUUCUGAAGUUCUUUUGACAAUUUGAAAUGGCAGUUACUGAUGAUACCGUUUUGCGUUUUGGAUUCAAAUCAGUUUUUCUAAAAAUUUCCUAUAAAACAAUUCUUUUUUGAAGCAGCCAAAUCUGGAAUAACGUUCUUGCCGAAAUAAUAAAUGCAAACAAUGAUGAUAUCUUAAAAAGACGUUUAGAAAAAUGUUAAUCCCAUGUUCCUGGUGAUUAUGCAUCCAGU